rnacentral:rRNA from 1 species
AGAGUUUGAUCCUGGCUCAGGAUGAACGCUAGCGACAGGCUUAACACAUGCAAGUCGAGGGGCAGCACAGGUAGCAAUACCGGGUGGCGACCGGCGCACGGGUGAGUAACGCGUAUGCAACUUGCCUAUCAGAGGGGGAUAACCCGGCGAAAGUCGGACUAAUACCGCAUGAAGCAGGGAUCCCGCAUGGGAAUAUUUGCUAAAGAUUCAUCGCUGAUAGAUAGGCAUGCGUUCCAUUAGGCAGUUGGCGGGGUAACGGCCCACCAAACCGACGAUGGAUAGGGGUUCUGAGAGGAAGGUCCCCCACAUUGGUACUGAGACACGGACCAAACUCCUACGGGAGGCAGCAGUGAGGAAUAUUGGUCAAUGGGCGUAAGCCUGAACCAGCCAAGUCGCGUGAGGGAUGAAGGUUCUAUGGAUCGUAAACCUCUUUUAUAAGGGAAUAAAGUGCGGGACGUGUCCCGUUUUGUAUGUACCUUAUGAAUAAGGAUCGGCUAACUCCGUGCCAGCAGCCGCGGUAAUACGGAGGAUCCGAGCGUUAUCCGGAUUUAUUGGGUUUAAAGGGUGCGUAGGCGGCCUUUUAAGUCAGCGGUGAAAGUCUGUGGCUCAACCAUAGAAUUGCCGUUGAAACUGGGGGGGCUUGAGUAUGUUUGAGGCAGGCGGAAUGCGUGGUGUAGCGGUGAAAUGCAUAGAUAUCACGCAGAACCCCGAUUGCGAAGGCAGCCUGCCAAGCCAUUACUGACGCUGAUGCACGAAAGCGUGGGGAUCAAACAGGAUUAGAUACCCUGGUAGUCCACGCAGUAAACGAUGAUCACUAGCUGUUUGCGAUACACUGUAAGCGGCACAGCGAAAGCGUUAAGUGAUCCACCUGGGGAGUACGCCGGCAACGGUGAAACUCAAAGGAAUUGACGGGGGCCCGCACAAGCGGAGGAACAUGUGGUUUAAUUCGAUGAUACGCGAGGAACCUUACCCGGGUUUGAACGCAUUCGGACCGAGGUGGAAACACCUUUUCUAGCAAUAGCCGUUUGCGAGGUGCUGCAUGGUUGUCGUCAGCUCGUGCCGUGAGGUGUCGGCUUAAGUGCCAUAACGAGCGCAACCCUUGCCACUAGUUACUAACAGGUAAAGCUGAGGACUCUGGUGGGACUGCCAGCGUAAGCUGCGAGGAAGGCGGGGAUGACGUCAAAUCAGCACGGCCCUUACAUCCGGGGCGACACACGUGUUACAAUGGCGUGGACAAAGGGAAGCCACCUGGCGACAGGGAGCGAAUCCCCAAACCACGUCUCAGUUCGGAUCGGAGUCUGCAACCCGACUCCGUGAAGCUGGAUUCGCUAGUAAUCGCGCAUCAGCCAUGGCGCGGUGAAUACGUUCCCGGGCCUUGUACACACCGCCCGUCAAGCCAUGGGAGCCGGGGGUACCUGAAGUCCGUAACCGCGAGGAUCGGCCUAGGGUAAAACUGGUGACUGGGGCUAAGUCGUAACAAGGUAGCCGUACCGGAAGGUGCGGCUG